rnacentral:snRNA from 1 species
AGCGACCGGAGCUAGUACAAAUCGCAAUCCCCUCGCCUUUUACUAGGGGAUUCCGUGUAUCAGCUUCACCUGCAAGUCGCAUGUUCAAUCUUUGGAAUAUCCGCAUUGUCCGGAGUA